GCGGACCGGGCUCGGGGACCCCUGUUCUACUGCAUUCAUUCAGCGUGAUUAAAAAUAUCAAAUCAGCUCCUCAUCCUGAGCACUGCAGUUUAGAAGACUUCAUAGCACAAAAGCCUUUUCAGGUAUACAAUUUCAAAUUGAGUUUAUCUUCCACUCAAUCUUCUUCUCCGUGUUGGCUAAGUUUGUAAUCAUUUUUGACCAAUCACUUUCACUUGUGACAUUCCUUACAAAAAAGUACUGUCCAAUAGGUUCACAAUAUUGCAUUCGGGUUGUUUGCUUGUAUACACCCAAGGUUGACUCCAGCUCAUAUUUGACUUCUGAUGAUUUCAUAUCAUUUGCUUUUUACAGACUUGUCUUGCUAAGCAGUGCAACACCUGAACCACAAGUGUCACUCCCUAAAAUGGAAUUUUCCAUUCCACCUUCAUAGUAAAGGACAGAAUUCUGUUCACUUGUUACAACUGCAUUUUAUUCAAUUUAUACGUAUGAGUAAAUAGUUCUGUUCCUAAGCAUUGGUAGAUUUAAAAAAUGAUUAAAUUCAAGCUGUUUGUGAGAUAAAAUUGCUUAUAUUUGUAGAAGUCGAAUUAAAACUCAUGCUUUAACACAAGUCUGUCAUUUGACCGUUUGAGCAUGCUGUCUUUCACUGAUUUGUUGUUACCGUGACUGUUACACCUUUCCGAAGGUUACUAUUGCUAAA